rnacentral:rRNA from 1 species
UACGGCCAGUAACACGUGGAUAACCUGCCCUUGGGUCCGGCAUAACCCCGGGAAACUGGGGAUAAUUCCGGAUAACGCACAUAUGCUGGAAUGCUUUAUGCGUAAAAUGGAUACGUCUGCCCAAGGAUGGGUCUGCGGCCUAUCAGGUAGUAGUGGGUGUAAUGUACCUACUACCCUACAACGGGUACGGGUUGUGAGAGCAAGAGCCCGGAGAUGGAUUCUGAGGCAUGAAUCCAGGCCCUACGGGGCGCAGCAGGCGCGAAAACUUUACAAUGCGGGAAACCGUGAUAAGGGGACACCGAGUGCCAGCAUCAUAUGCUGGCUGUCCAGGUGUGUAAAAUACACCUGUUAGCAAGGGCCGGGCAAGACCGGUGCCAGCCGCCGCGGUAACACCGGCGGCCCGAGUGGUGAUCGUGAUUAUUGGGUCUAAAGGGUCCGUAGCCGGUUUGGUCAGUCCUCCGGGAAAUCUGACGGCUCAACCGUUAGGCUUUCGGGGGAUACUGCCAGGCUUGGAACCGGGAGAGGUAAGAGGUACUACAGGGGUAGGAGUGAAAUCUUGUAAUCCCUGUGGGACCACCUGUGGCGAAGGCGUCUUACCAGAACGGGUUCGACGGUGAGGGACGAAAGCUGGGGGCACGAACCGGAUUAGAUACCCGGGUAGUCCCAGCCGUAAACGAUGCUCGCUAGGUGUCAGGCAUGGCGCGACCGUGUCUGGUGCCGCAGGGAAGCCGUGAAGCGAGCCACCUGGGAAGUACGGCCGCAAGGCUGAAACUUAAAGGAAUUGGCGGGGGAGCACA